rnacentral:piRNA from 1 species
UGGGAACAAAUUGGAACAGCAGCUCC